GGUUUGAUCAGUCUUCCGGGAAAUCUGACGGCUCAACUGUUAGGCUUCUGGGGGAUACUGUCAGACUUGGAACCGGGAGAGGUAAGAGGUACUACAGGGGUAGGAGUGAAAUCUUGUAAUCCUUGUGGGACCACCAGUGGCGAAGGCGUCUUACCAGAACGGGUUCGACGGUGAGGGACGAAAGCUGGGGGCACGAACCGGAUUAGAUACCCGGGUAGUCCCAGCCGUAAACGAUGCUCGCUAGGUGUCUGGGAUGGUGCGACCGUUUCAGGUGCCGCAGGGAAGCCGUGAAGCGAGCCACCUGGGAAGUACGGCCGCAAGGCUGAAACUUAAAGGAAUUGGCGGGGGAGCACUACAACGGGUGGAGCCUGCGGUUUAAUUGGACUCAACGCCGGAAAACUCACCUGGGGCGACAGCAAUAUGUAGGUCAGGCUGAA
rnacentral:rRNA from 1 species